rnacentral:rRNA from 1 species
CUACGGGAGGCAGCAGUGAGGAAUAUUGCACAAUGGGGGGAACCCUGAUGCAGCAACGCCGCGUGGAGGAUGACGCAUUUCGGUGUGUAAACUCCUUUUAUAUGUCAAGAAAAUGACGGUAGCAUAUGAAUAAGCACCGGCUAACUCCGUGCCAGCAGCCGCGGUAAUACGGAGGGGUGCAAGCGUUACUCGGGAAUCACUGGGCGUAAAGGACGCGUAGGCGGGUUGGAAAGUCAGGUGUGAAAUCCUACAGCUUAACUGUAGAACUGCACUUGAAACUUCUAAUCUAGAGUAUGGGAGGGGGAGAUGGAAUUAGUGGUGUAGGGGUAAAAUCCGUAGAUAUCACUAGGAAUACCUAAAGCGAAGGCGAUCUCCUGGAACAUUACUGACGCUAAGGCGUGAAAGCGUGGGGAGCAAACAGGAUUAGAUACCCUGGUAGUC